rnacentral:lncRNA from 1 species
AUGGCUUGGGUUGUGACUUUAUCGGAGCCAUGGACACCAUCGGCCACCCUCCUCCCCUCCUCUGCCACCCAGUGGCAGUCCUUUGGGCCCUUAAAUCGAUAUCCUUAAUCAACGAGGAUGACACUCAAUUUGACAAAGUGGUGAAUGGAAUUCGAUCCCGCUUUUUCUCCGCUACCGGCACCCUCUUCAUCCACCACUAAGUCCCUGUCAACACCAGCA